AUGCGCGGGGCCCGCUCUACCGACUCGCCCUAGUCUUUUGCUUUCUUUUUCUGCCCUCGGCCUCGCUCUUGCGCACGGGACCACAAUGCUCCGCGCCGCUUGUCAUUGGGAGGCGCCGAAGGUGGAGAGGUCGGCUCGGAAGGAAAAGCUUCCCUCCUGAAGCCAGCAAGACCAUGAACCCACCAGGAGGAACAAACAACUCCAGAUGCAACACCUUUAAGAGCUGUAACACUCACUGCGAAGGUCUGCAGCUUCACUCCUGAAGUCAGCAAGACCACAAACCCACCAGAAGGAAGAAACUCCAGAUGCAUCUGAACAUCUGAAGGAACAAACUCCGGACACACCAUCUUUAAGAACUGUAACACACACCACGAGGGUCCACGGCUUCAUUCUUGAAGUCAGCAAGACCAAGAACCCACCAGAAGGAACAAAUUCCAGACACAUUUUGGCACCCAAUGUGGGGCACAUUUUGGUGACCACAAAGGAACCAUCGACUAUCACCAAGUGGAUUGAGGCCAUCAAGCUACAGAUGAUUUUACAAAUGGAACUCCAAAUGAGCUCAACUAACAACUUCUACCAAGGACCCCUGGACUGACUCACUGGCCCUUUCACUGGCCUGAAGAGUUCCCCUCUGGAGGACACUACAACUGCAGGGCCCCUUCUUUGCUCCUAUUCAGCAGGAAGUAGCUAGAGUGGUCAUCGCCCAAUUCCCAACAGCUGUUGGGGUGUCCUGUUUAGAGGGGGUACUGAGAGGUGAAGCCAGCUGGGCUUCUGGGUCGGGUGGGGACUUGGAGAACUUUUCUAUCUAGCUAAAGGAUUGUAAAUACACCAAUCAGCUCUCUGUGUCUAGCUAAAGGUUUGUAAAUGCACCAAUUAGCACUCUGUAGAAACGCAACAGUCAGUGCUCUGUGUCUAGCUAAAGGUUUGUAAAUGCACCAAUCAGCACUCUGUAAAAAUGCACCAAUCAGUGCUCUGUGUCUAGCUGAAAGAUUUGUAAAUGCACCAAUCAGCAAUCUGUAAAAACGCACCAAUCAGCACUCUGUGCCUUGCUAAAGAUUUGUAAAUGCACCAAUCAGCACUCUGUAAAAACAGACCAAUCAGUGCUCUGUAAAACGGACCAAUCAGCAGGAUGUGGGCGGGGCCAAAUAAG
ensembl:lncRNA CCNT2-AS1 CCNT2 antisense RNA 1